UAAUACGUAGGGGGCGAGCGUUGUCCGGAUUUAUUGGGCGUAAAGAGCUCGUAGGCGGCUUGACAAGUCGGGUGUGAAACCUCCAGGCUCAACCUGGAGAUGCCAUUCGAUACUGUCAUGGCUAGAGUCCGGUAGGGGACCAUGGAAUUCCUGGUGUAGCGGUGAAAUGCGCAGAUAUCAGGAGGAACACCAGUGGCGAAGGCGGUGGUCUGGGCCGGAACUGACGCUGAGGAGCGAAAGCGUGGGUAGCAAACAGGAUUAGAUACCCUGGUAGUCCACGCCGUAAACGUUGGGCACUAGGUGUGGGGCCUUAUCAACGGGUUCUGUGCCGUAGCUAACGCAUUAAGUGCCCCGCCUGGGGAGUACGGCCGCAAGGCUA
rnacentral:rRNA from 1 species